rnacentral:rRNA from 1 species
ACGCUGGCAGUGCGUCUUAAGCAUGCAAGUCAAACGGGAUGUAGCAAUACAUCUAGUGGCGAACGGGUGAGUAACGCGUGGAUGAUCUACCUACGAGAUGGGGAUAACUAUUAGAAAUAGUAGCUAAUACCGAAUAAAGUCAAUUAAUUUGUUAAUUGAUGAAAGGAAGCCUUUAAAGCUUCGCUUGUAGAUGAGUCUGCGUCUUAUUAGCUAGUUGGUAGGGUAAAUGCCUACCAAGGCGAUGAUAAGUAACCGGCCUGAGAGGGUGAACGGUCACACUGGAACUGAGAUACGGUCCAGACUCCUACGGGAGGCAGCAGCUAAGAAUCUUCCGCAAUGGGCGAAAGCCUGACGGAGCGACACUGCGUGAAUGAAGAAGGUCGAAAGAUUGUAAAAUUCUUUUAUAAAUGAGGAAUAAGCUUUGUAGGAAAUGACAAAGUGAUGACGUUAAUUUAUGAAUAAGCCCCGGCUAAUUACGUGCCAGCAGCCGCGGUAAUACGUAAGGGGCGAGCGUUGUUCGGGAUUAUUGGGCGUAAAGGGUGAGUAGGCGGAUAUAUAAGUCUAUGCAUAAAAUACCACAGCUCAACUGUGGAACUAUGUUGGAAACUAUAUGUCUAGAGUCUGAUAGAGGAAGUUAGAAUUUCUGGUGUAAGGGUGGAAUCUGUUGAUAUCAGAAAGAAUACCGGAGGCGAAGGCGAACUUCUGGGUCAAGACUGACGCUGAGUCACGAAAGCGUAGGGAGCAAACAGGAUUAGAUACCCUGGUAGUCUACGCUGUAAACGAUGCACACUUGGUGUUAACUAAAAGGUUAGUACCGAAG